rnacentral:tRNA from 1 species
GCCGGAAAUUGAUUCCAGACUGAUUUGUAAUCAGGGGGUCGCGGGUUCGAAUCCUGCUGCCGGCACCA